rnacentral:rRNA from 1 species
GAUGAACGCUGGCGGCGCGCCUAACACAUGCAAGUCGAGCGAUUCUCUUCGGAGAAGAGCGGCGGACGGGUGAGUAACGUGUGGGUAACCUGCCCUGUACACACGGAUAACAUACCGAAAGGUAUGCUAAUACGAGAUAAUAUGCUUUUAUCGCAUGGUAGAAGUAUCAAAACUCCGGCGGUACAGGAUGGACCCGCGUCUGAUUAGCUAGUUGGUAAGGUAACGGCUUACCAAGGCGACGAUCAGUAGCCGACCUGAGAGGGUGAUCGGCCACAUUGGAACUGAGACACGGUCCAAACUCCUACGGGAGGCAGCAGUGGGGAAUAUUGCACAAUGGGCGAAAGCCUGAUGCAGCAACGCCGCGUGAGCGAUGAAGGCCUUCGGGUCGUAAAGCUCUGUCCUCAGGGAAGAUAAUGACGGUACUUGAGGAGGAAGCCCCGGCUAACUACGUGCCAGCCGCCGCCGUAAAAC